rnacentral:rRNA from 1 species
GGGCUGCAGUAUUUUGACUGUACAAAGGUAGCAUAAUCAAUAGUCUCUUAAUUGGUGACUUGUAUGAAAGAUUGGAUGAGAUAUAGACUGUCUCUAGUUAAUUUAUAGAAAUUAAUUUUUUAGUUAAAAAGCUAAAAUAAUUUUAAAAGACGAGAAGACCCUAUAGAGUUUAAUAAUUUAUUUAAUUGUAUUAUUUUAUAAAUUUUAAAAAUUAAAAUUAAAUGAAUUAUUUUGUUGGGGUGAUAAAAAAAUUAAAUUAACUUUUUUUGAUUAUUAACAUUAAUUUAUGAUUUAAUGAUCCAUUAAUAGUGAUUAAAAGAAAAAAUUACCUUAGGGAUAACAGCGUAAUUUUUUUUUUUAGUUCAAAUAGGAAAAAAAGUUUGCGACCUCGAUGUUGGAUUAA